AUUCUUCCUUGAGAAGCUACUAAUCUCUCUAUCUCCUUCACCGUCACUUCUUUUCUAAAACCUAGGUGUUGUUCAAGGUAAGAAUAUAUCUGUUACAUUAAUGCCCUGGUGAUGGAAGAUUUGGGUUGUCGGAGAAAGCAUACGGGCUCCGUAGCGGUUCAUCGCAACAACAUCGAUUCAAAAGUUCAAGGGUUUGUGUUUGCGUUUUGGAUUGGAAUUGAAUCUCAGUUUUUCGUGCUUAGUUGUGCGUGAGAGUCUAUGAUGUUUUUCAACGGUUCCGAUUGUUCAACUUUUGAUAAAUCUAAGGAGAUUCAAGGAUUCAGUCCAUGUAAUAUGUAAUGCUUCAGUUGAAUAAGAUGUACAUAUUAGUAUAAAGCGGGCUGCUGAUGUUCUUCAAACCAAGCAGAAUGGGAUGAUUCAUCAAGAUUACAUAAUUUUGCAGGGUCUUGUAGGUGGCGGGUCAAGUGAGUUGGGUUAUAUCAAAAUGGGUUGGGCCGGGCUUCUCCGGUAUAUUGUUAAACUAAGCAUUUUUAAUAUAUGUAAAGAUUGAUCAUCGGCGCGCAUACAACUAUGAAAUCAUGCUCUCAAAGGUGAAGAUACCAUUGCAUGAACUUAUGGAUUAUGUCCUCGCUUUAGAUGAAUCAGCACUGGAUGCUGAUCAGGUGGAAAAGCUUAUAAAGUUGUCCUACAAAAGAAGUGAUGGAAACGCUAAAGCAUCAUGGGGAGGCUGUGCAACAAGUCAAAAAGGGUUCAUGGUGGAUGUUCAUUCUACUUUCAUUGAAUCUGCCUUUCACUUUAGUUUGUUUAUUCAUAUUGGACUUUUAUUAAGAUAUCGAUCAACCACUACAGUGCUUUUUCCCUGAAAACGUGGUCCAAGAAAUAGAAACACCACUUUUUGUAACAAACGCGGCCUAUGAUUCAGGGCAGAUAAAGAAUGCAGUAUCUCCUGGGGUAGUUGAUCCUCAUGGUAAAUGGCACGACUGUAAAAUGGAUAUUGAGCAGUAUUCAUCUGAUCAAAUUGAGAUCAUACAAGGUCACUAAUCACCCUAAGAUAAAUCAUUAUUGUAAUUAUAUAGACAAAUGGUGUUUUGGGUCAAUCCAACUUUCCCGGGUAUCUUGACCUGCACUCUAUAUUGACUAAUGGUUAUACUUUUGAUUUACAUAAUUCAGGUUGGAGUUCAUACGCGCAUUGGAUGGAUUUUUUGGCACUUCUUCACCAAGAGGGAUGUUUAUCAACUCUUGCUAUGCCCACUGCCAAACUGAAAUACAAGAGACAUGGUAUAUGAGUGAUUCACCCAUGUUGAGUAACAAGAAGUAUUGGCUCACCUUAAAGGGAAAGUUGUUUUCAUGAUCUUUCCAAAUGGUGAAUUUCCAGUUCCCAGGAUCAUUUACACUACAUGGGGACAUCACAUGAAGGUCAUGUUGCAACACGCUCUGCAAGACUAAAUCUGAUAUCUUUAUUAUGGUUUAUCCAAUGAAAAUAUAAAGCUAAUGAUCCAUACACCGAAGAAAGUCUCCUUCGAAGUCUCUGUUGGCUUUCGUUCAGACCUUUAUAUUCUCCAAUAAGAUCGCAAUCUUCUUGAAAUCCUACUAUCCGUCGGAAUGUCAAUUACGUUUAAGCAACAGUUGGUCAUUUCUACAAACCAACCCUUAAAAAUAAAAUGCCUGUUGUUCACCUAUUGCGAGCAAAACUGUAAGUAAACAAUUUUAAAUCUACUCAAAUAGUGUGGAUAGUUAUAACUUUUUUCCACCUUUUCCUUGCGGAGAUGACAAUUUCAACCUAUUUACCUUUGAAAGGGUCGAGUUGGGUUGUGUUGCGUGGUACCUGAAUCUUUAUAUAUGUCUAUAAUCACUAAUGUGUCAAAUGGGUAAAAUAAAAAAAGAGCUUAAAAGGUAACGGGAUGAAUUCGUCCAAAGUUAUUUCAAUGCUUAUAAAGAAAAAAUAUACAUGUUUAAGUUAUUUUAAUGCACAGUGGUUCUUGUGAAUCUUAACAUUUCAAGCUGUACCAAAAUUUAAUUUAAUCGUACUUGACCCUUUUCAACCGGUAACCCCCCCCACACACACAAAAAAAAUUGUUAUGAGUGUUUUUUUUGGGAUAUCGGUGAUAUGCAACAUUAUGUGGUGUGUUUAUAGUGUGUCUUGCGGCAUGAGACUACAAUUCAUGCGAUUUUGUUUGUAUGGCGUGAGUUUUUAAUUCUGGGUUUGGUUGAGUUUUUAACCUACUACUUGAGAAGAUGGCAGGAGCUUAUUGAUGAACAGGGGUCAAUAUGAGAAUGGUAAAAGGAGAGCUAAGGACAGAAUCAUGGAAAUACAAGCUCAUAUUUAUCUUAGACUUAUUGUGACGUGCAGAUUUAACGAGCAUAAGUAAUGGAUGUGUUUUUUCACUUACAAGCACACAUUUACCAUAGACUUAGUUUGGUCAGAUAAUUUGGAAUGGGUCCAACUGGUAAUCAGUUAUGGAUUUGAAGCAACAUAUCAAAGGGAAGUUGUUGAAGUUGGAGGUUGAUCUUCGAAAUACAUCAAGUUAUCAAGAUAUGAUUGUACAUGUUUCAAACCAUAUUGUCAAUUAGAGUAUUUGCUUCAUUUAAGAUUGAUGUGAAACAAUUAUAUAAAGUUUAGUUGAUUUUAUGAUUGAAGUAGUGUGAUUGUAUUAAGAAUUAUAUAUACCUAAGUAACUUGGUGCGUU